GUGUGCUUUCCCCUAAUCCUCAGGGACUUCAGGUACCAGUUGACAAAUACUGUGCAUUGUCAUUAAUGAAGCAGUGAUUACAGGAAGAUAGUCACAGCGGAACGCACAAGGCACGGGAUCCAAGGGGCACCAUCGGGGGCCCCUCCCCAAAGGUCGUCUAGAGGUGCUGAAGUUCCCCGAGAUAAAGCAGGAAAAGAGAAACGGAAAGGAUUGCCUCCCUACCUGGGUCCACCUCUUCACAUAUCUGAUUAGGAUUUCUCGAAUACUUGCCAUAUAUUGGUUCCAACCGAGACAGGGAUGAUCUGAAGAUGAGCAAGACACAGGCGUGACCCCGAGGAGCUUGAAGAAUGACACAGUGAUCCCAGAAGCAAGAUCUAUGGAUGCUCAUCUCAGAAUGUUCCCAAAGAAAAGGAUCCACAGCCAAGUCCUCAACUUUGUCAACAAUUCGUCAGGCAUCUUACUACGACUCGAUGCUACUUUCCAGUCAUUUCUUAGAACCACAGAGUUCCAGUGGCUCCAGGAUAUCCUGGCCAGACCAGACCUUCACAGCCUUCUUCCUCGGUCAAAUCUCGGAGACCAUUU